ACGCCUGCCCGGUGCUGGAAGGUUAAGGGGAUCUGUUAGAGCAAUCGAAGCAGUGAACUUAAGCCCCAGGACACGCCGGCCGUAACUCGAACGGUCCUAAGGUGGCGAGAGUCGUGGUCGGGUAAGUGGCGACCCGCACGAAGGGCGUAACGAUGUGGGCACUGUGGCAACAACAGACGCGGUGAAAUUGUAAUUCCGGGGAAGAUGCCGGGUACCUGCGACGGGACGGAAAGACCCCAUGGGGCUUUACUGUAGCUUGACAUUGGGUCUUGGUACUACAUGUACAGGAUAGGUGGGAGGCUUUGAAGCCAGGACGCCAGUUUUGGCGGAGCCAUCCUUGGGAUACCACCCUUGUAG
rnacentral:rRNA from 1 species